UAAACUAAAUCACAAGAUAAAAAAAAUGAAAACCUUUAAAUAUUACCGAUGCCUUGGAGAUUUAUCGACGACAUAGUCAUUGGUAACCUUCACCUCUAAAAUGGUUGUCGGAACUUUUGUCAAUAAACUCGUCCUGUGUAGUAGUCUUUGGGACCAGAAGAUUCUUUGGCCAAUAAUUAUACCAAAAAUAACUACUAAUUCACCUCAAACUCACGGUUGUCGCCGCUAACCUUGUUACAAGCACCCUUUCCCCUUUGAGAAAAGCACUGCUUUUGCCGGAUUCGAGGUCAUCAUUGUUCUUCUUUGCUCUAUGUUAUCUACUAGAUUUAUUCGCGAUCUCCUCCUGCGCAGUGCGUGGUUCAAAUAGGAUGCAGCUGCACGAUAGUCCUACCACCGUCAUCUCCAACCUCUAUCGUCGACACCACGUAUCGCAGGUUUAGACAUAUCCUACCUACUCUUCUACGUCCGCGCCUGCUCCUUCGAAUCCGCUGCUAGAAGCUCCUCCUCCUUGGAGCAUUACAGAUUGUGUUCGAUUCUGUUUUAAAUCCGUUGCAUGAUUCUACUCAUUGUUCUAGCCUUUUUGUCCUAGGUCUUUUGUUUCAUAUUUCCAUUGCUGGAGCAGCUAAAACGAGAUUGAUAAGUUACACAUUUCUACCUUCAUGUUUGAGGGAGGUAAAGAAAUUGGUAAGGCCUAUGCAUGGCCCAAAAUCUCUCAUGGAUGAAUCAUUAAGGGUGGCAAUGAGUAAGGGACUUAGAUGAAGAAUUUAGAAAAGACUUAUUGGUUAUGGGAAGCUUUGAUUCUUAAAGACUUGAAUAAAACGCACAUGAUGAAGAUUUGGUGCUUGGAAGUAUUCUUAAUAUUUUCCCAUCAUUUUCACUGGAACAACCAUUGAAAGGUGAUCUUUCAUUCUUUCUUAACAUUUUAUUUGAUGAUGCACAUAAAUACUUUGAAUACUUUAAUAAUAUACAUAAGAAUAAAAGGAUGUAGAAAAAUGUAAGAGUCUUCUAUAUUCUAUAUGAAGUUGGGUUGCAGAUUAAAUAUACAAAGGGCAACAAGGUAAGUGUAAAAUGUCCCCAAUUAUAUGGCAAUUUGUUUGACUUUGUAAUCCUAGAAAACAGGAGGGAUUUGAAGAGGAAUUGUUAUGGUUUUUGUUGACAAAAUGGUGUGAGCACUAAAAAGGCUUGGUGGCCAUUAUGCUAUAGUAAUAAUGUAUUUAGACUCGCUACCUAUCUUGCUAUUAUAUGUUAAAUGUUUGCAAGCUUAUUAAGAGUUAGAUACAUUUUAGCAAAAGCAUCUAUGAAGUUUUUCUUUCAUGUAUAUAUAUUUUUUAAUUUAGGUGAUUUCAGGAUAAGCUUGCUAAGGAAAUGGCAUAUGUUGCUACAGGAUUUGGGCAUGUAAUGUUGCCUGAGAAUGUUCAUGAACCAGCCUUAAAUUGUGCAUUUUAAUCAAACCAAAUUAUUUUUUGCACAAUUUUAGACAAGUAACAUAGUUCUGAACAUUUGCAAAAACUACAAGGAAUCUUUGGAAGAAGUUGUUGUCUUAUUGAGCAGGUACAUUUUAGGCAUAAUUUUAUAUGGUCCUUUUUCAUAUAUUAAAGGAUGAAUAAUGUAAUGUUAGGAUACUUAGAGAGAUGCAUUUAACCGUGAAAGUGUCAAUACAAGUU